rnacentral:rRNA from 1 species
AAAGGAAUAGACGGGGGCCCGCACAAGCGGAGGAACAUGUGGUUUAAUUCGAUGAUACGCGAGGAACCUUACCCGGGAUUGAAAUGGAGCGGAAUAACCGUGAAAGCGGUUAGCCAGCAAUGGUCGCUUUGUAGGUGCUGCAUGGUUGUCGUCAGCUCGUGCCGUGAGGUGUCGGCUUAAGUGCCAUAACGAGCGCAACCCUGACUGUCAGUUGCUAACAGGUCGUGCUGAGGACUCUGGCGGGACUGCCGGCGUAAGCUGUGAGGAAGGUUGGGAUGACGUCAAAUCAGCACGGCCCUUACAUCCGGGGCGACACACGUGUUACAAUGGCACGGACAGCGGGAAGCUACUUAGUGAUAAGAUGCAAAUCUCGAAACCGUGUCUCAGUUCGGAUCGGAGUCUGCAACUCGACUCCGUGAAGCCGGAUUCGCUAGUAAUCGCGCAUCAGCCAUGGCGCGGUGAAUACGUUCCCGGGCCUUGUACACACCGCCCGU